GUCUCCGCCAUGGGCCUGCGCCGCCUCGGGACCGGGGUCAGGGUGCCACGGCUUACCAAUGGAAGAUUAGGCCAGAUGGCUCCUGAGAGUGCUUUGGGAGAUUCUCUGUUCCUUCUGGGAAUGGCAGGGAUAGGAGGGGGUCCCAGAAGUUUGAACGCUUUGGCAUCCAAGAAAUCACACUCCAAAUACUGCUCUUCUGGCCUCCCCUGGGCUGCCUUCUCCAACCGUGUUCCUGGGAACCGAAGGGCAGAAAUUGCCCUCUUGGGCUUAUAAACAAGGAGCUCCUGCCUGCCUGGAUGAAGAGGAGGUCAAGACUUUGUCCCCCACUCCGCAAGAUACCCUCUCUGUUCCGGAGCGGUGAGACAGGAUUUCACCAUGUUAGCCAGGAUGGUCUUGAUCUCCUGACCUCAUGAUCUGCCCACCUCGGCCUCCCAAAGUGCUGGGCUUACAGGCGUGAGCCACCGUGCCCGGCCAAAAAUAACUUUUAAAAACAUGAGUAUAGCAUACACACACACAAAAGUCCACAAAUCCUAGGUGU
rnacentral:lncRNA from 1 species